rnacentral:rRNA from 1 species
CUAAUGCACCGGAUCCCUCCAGAACUCCGCAGUUAAGCGUGCUUGGGCGAGAGUAGUACUAGGAUGGGUGACCUCCUGGGAAGUCCUGGUGUUGCACCCC